GACGAACGCUGGCGGCGUGCUUAACACAUGCAAGUCGAACGGAAAGGCCCUGCUUUUGUGGGGUGCUCGAGUGGCGAACGGGCGAGUAACACGUGAGUAACCUGCCCUUGACUUUGGGAUAACUUCAGGAAACUGGGGCUAAUACCGGGUAGGAGCUCCUGCUGCAUGGUGGGGGUUGGAAAGUUUCGGCGGUUGGGGAUGGACUCGCGGCUUAUCAGCUUGUUGGUGGGGUAGUGGCUUACCAAGGCUUUGACGGGUAGCCGGCCUGAGAGGGUGACCGGCCACAUUGGGACUGAGAUACGGCCCAGACUCCUACGGGAGGCAGCAGUGGGGAAUAUUGCACAAUGGGCGGAAGCCUGAUGCAGCAACGCCGCGUGCGGGAUGACGGCCUUCGGGUUGUAAACCGCUUUCGCCUGUGACGAAGCGUGAGUGACGGUAAUGGGUAAAGAAGCGCCGGCUAACUACGUG
rnacentral:rRNA from 1 species